AGCAGAGGCAGCUUCUGAGAGCCUGGGCAGGCAGCAGCUGGCUGACCAAGUCCACUGGAAGAGAAGGCUUGUGCCAGCCGGGAGAAGGAAGCCGGGGACAGGAUGAAAGCAACAACACCUUUACAGACAGUCGACCGGCCCAAGGACUGGUACAAGACGAUGUUUAAGCAAAUUCACAUGGUGCACAAGCCGGAUGAUGACACAGACAUGUAUAAUACUCCUUAUACAUACAAUGCAGGUCUGUACAACCCACCCUACAGUGCUCAGUCACACCCUGCUGCAAAGACCCAAACCUACAGACCUCUUUCCAAAAGCCACUCUGACAACAGCCCCAAUGCCUUUAAGGAUGUGUCCUCCCCAGUGCCUCCCCCACAUGUUCCACCUCCAGUCCCACCGCUUCGACCAAGAGAUCGGUCUUCAACAGAAAAGCAUGACUGGGAUCCUCCAGACAGAAAAGUGGACACAAGAAAAUUUCGGUCUGAGCCAAGGAGUAUUUUUGAAUAUGAACCUGGCAAGUCAUCAAUUCUUCAGCAUGAAAGACCAGCCUCCUUGUAUCAGUCCUCUAUAGACAGAAGCCUGGAAAGACCCAUGAG
rnacentral:sRNA from 1 species